rnacentral:rRNA from 1 species
AGUGAACGCUGGCGGCAUGCCUUACACAUGCAAGUCGAACGGUAACAGGGAGCUUGCUCCGCUGACGAGUGGCGAACGGGUGAGUAAUGUAUCGGAACGUACCUUUUAGUGGGGGAUAACGUAGCGAAAGUUACGCUAAUACCGCAUAUUCUCUGAGGCGGAAAGCAGGGGACCUCCGGGCCGUGCGCUACUAGAGCGCCUGAUAUCAGAUUAGCUAGUUGGGGAGGUAAAGGCUCACCAAGGCGACGAUCUGUAGCGGGUCUGGAGAGGAUGAUCCGCCACACUGGAACUGAGACACGGUCCAGACUCCUGCGGGAGGCAGCAGUGGGGAAUUUUGGACAAUGGGGGCAACCCUGAUCCAGCCAUGCCGCGUGAGUGAAGAAGGCCUUCGGGUUGUAAAGCUCUUUCGGCCGGGAAAAAAUCGCAUGGGUUAAUACCCUGUGUGGAUGAUGGUACCGGAAUAAGAAGCACCGGCUAACUACGUGCCAGCAGCCGCGGUAA